rnacentral:rRNA from 1 species
UACGUAGGGGGCAAGCGUUGUCCGGAAUCAUUGGGCGUAAAGAGCGUGUAGGCGGCCCGAUAAGUCCGCUGUGAAAGUCCAGGGCUCAACCCUGGAAUGCCGGUGGAUACUGUCGGGCUCGAGUUCGGAAGAGGUGAGUGGAAUUCCCGGUGUAGUGGUGAAAUGCGUAGAUAUCCGGAGGAAGACCGGUGGCGAAGGCGGUCUGCUGGGCAGUUGCUGACACUGAGGCGCGGACAGCGUGGGGAGCAAACAGG